rnacentral:rRNA from 1 species
AGUGAACGCUGGCGGUAGGCCUAACACAUGCAAGUCGAACGGCAGCACAGUAAGAGCUUGCUCUUACGGGUGGCGAGUGGCGGACGGGUGAGGAAUACAUCGGAAUCUACUUUUUCGUGGGGGAUAACGUAGGGAAACUUACGCUAAUACCGCAUACGACCUACGGGUGAAAGCAGGGGAUCUUCGGACCUUGCGCGAUUGAAUGAGCCGAUGUCGGAUUAGCUAGUUGGCGGGGUAAAGGCCCACCAAGGCGACGAUCCGUAGCUGGUCUGACAGGAUGAUCAGCCACACUGGAAGUGAGACACGGUCGAGACUCCUACGGGAGGCAGCAGUGGGGAAUAUUGGACAAUGGGGGCAAGCCUGAUCCAGCCAUACCGCGUGGGUGAAGAAGGCCUUCGGGUUGUAAAGCCCUUUUGUUGGGAAAGAAAAGCAGCAGGUUAAUACCCCGCUGUUCUGACGGUACCCAAAGAAUAAGCACCGGCUAACUUCGUG